rnacentral:ribozyme from 14 species
UCCUUUUUUUUUUUUUUUUUUUUUUUUGCUUUUUCUC